ACUUAAAUUGAAGAGUUUGAUCAUGGCUCAGAUUGAACGCUGGCGGCAGGCCUAACACAUGCAAGUCGAGCGGUAGCACAGAGAGCUUGCUCUCGGGUGACGAGCGGCGGACGGGUGAGUAAUGUCUGGGAAACUGCCUGAUGGAGGGGGAUAACUACUGGAAACGGUAGCUAAUACCGCAUAAUGUCGCAAGACCAAAGUGGGGGACCUUCGGGCCUCAUGCCAUCAGAUGUGCCCAGAUGGGAUUAGCUAGUAGGUGGGGUAAUGGCUCACCUAGGCGACGAUCCCUAGCUGGUCUGAGAGGAUGACCAGCCACACUGGAACUGAGACACGGUCCAGACUCCUACGGGAGGCAGCAGUGGGGAAUAUUGCACAAUGGGCGCAAGCCUGAUGCAGCCAUGCCGCGUGUGUGAAGAAGGCCUUCGGGUUGUAAAGCACUUUCAGCGGGGAGGAAGGCGAUAAGGUUAAUAACCUUGUCGAUUGACGUUACCCGCAGAAGAAGCACCGGCUAACUCCGUGCCAGCAGCCGCGGUAAUACGGAGGGUGCAAGCGUUAAUCGGAAUUACUGGGCGUAAAGCGCACGCAGGCGGUCUGUCAAGUCGGAUGUGAAAUCCCCGGGCUCAACCUGGGAACUGCAUUCGAAACUGGCAGGCUAGAGUCUUGUAGAGGGGGGUAGAAUUCCAGGUGUAGCGGUGAAAUGCGUAGAGAUCUGGAGGAAUACCGGUGGCGAAGGCGGCCCCCUGGACAAAGACUGACGCUCAGGUGCGAAAGCGUGGGGAGCAAACAGGAUUAGAUACCCUGGUAGUCCACGCCGUAAACGAUGUCGAUUUGGAGGUUGUGCCCUUGAGGCGUGGCUUCCGGAGCUAACGCGUUAAAUCGACCGCCUGGGGAGUACGGCCGCAAGGUUAAAACUCAAAUGAAUUGACGGGGGCCCGCACAAGCGGUGGAGCAUGUGGUUUAAUUCGAUGCAACGCGAAGAACCUUACCUGGUCUUGACAUCCACAGAACUUUCCAGAGAUGGAUUGGUGCCUUCGGGAACUGUGAGACAGGUGCUGCAUGGCUGUCGUCAGCUCGUGUUGUGAAAUGUUGGGUUAAGUCCCGCAACGAGCGCAACCCUUAUCCUUUGUUGCCAGCGGUCCGGCCGGGAACUCAAAGGAGACUGCCAGUGAUAAACUGGAGGAAGGUGGGGAUGACGUCAAGUCAUCAUGGCCCUUACGACCAGGGCUACACACGUGCUACAAUGGCAUAUACAAAGAGAAGCGACCUCGCGAGAGCAAGCGGACCUCAUAAAGUAUGUCGUAGUCCGGAUUGGAGUCUGCAACUCGACUCCAUGAAGUCGGAAUCGCUAGUAAUCGUAGAUCAGAAUGCUACGGUGAAUACGUUCCCGGGCCUUGUACACACCGCCCGUCACACCAUGGGAGUGGGUUGCAAAAGAAGUAGGUAGCUUAACCUUCGGGAGGGCGCUUACCACUUUGUGAUUCAUGACUGGGGUGAAGUCGUAACAAGGUAACCGUAGGGGAACCUGCGGUUGGAUCACCUCCUUACCUUAAAGAA
rnacentral:rRNA from 1 species